rnacentral:rRNA from 1 species
GAUGAACGUUGGCGGCGUGCCUAAUACAUGCAAGUCGAACGGAGAUUGUAGCAAUACGGUCUCAGUGGCGAACGGGUGAGUAACGCGUUGGUGACCUGCCCCGAAGUGUGGAAUAACAGAUCGAAAGAGCUGCUAAUACCGCAUAGGUUUCUUGGUCGCAUGAUCGAGAAAGGAAGACGGCCUUUGUGCUGUCGCUUAUGGAUGGACCCGCGGCGUAUUAGUUAGUUGGUGAGGUAAUGGCUCACCAAGACGAUGAUACGUAGCCGACCUGAGAGGGUGAUCGGCCAC